rnacentral:rRNA from 1 species
GACAGAGGUCCCGAGCGUUAGGCGGAAUCACUGGGCUUAAAGCGUGUGUAGGCGGCGGCCUAAGUACCUUGUGAAAUCCCACGGCUCACCCGUGGAACUGCUCGGUAUACUGGGUCGCUUGAGCCACUUAGGGGCUACCGGAACAAAUGGUGGAGCGGUGAAAUGCGUAGAUAUCUGGAGGAACACCGGUGGCGAAGGCGGCAUCCUGGACCAUUACUGACACUGAAAAGCGAAAGCCAGGGGAGCAAACGGG